UGGAAACCAACAUUUUUGUAGUACUUUAAUUUUGUUUUAUAAAAUAGCCAUCGUAUAAAGGAAUACAUCACUGACUCCUCUAUAGAAAAUUAAAUGGAAACAACUAUGCUUUGUGUGUAUUCCUGUAACCAAAAUUAGGAUCACAUUAAUCAAAGUUAAACAAGGCCACAUCAUUUGUAGCUGGUCAUUUUCCCACUGACCCCUUCCAAAAGCAAAAACAAAACAAAAAAACAAAAAACAAGUUUCAUAACUUUAAGUAACAUUAAGACGGAAUCUCCCACUUGUAAAGUGAAAGUGCUUAAAGAACAACAACUAAUCUACAACAAAAUGAUCUCCCAAGCAAAGGGAUUAUCUCUUAUAUUUCAAUGGUUUACCACUAUAACAUGAUGAAGAUAACACAACGACACGAAGGGUCCUUCCGUCUGACAGCCAGGCAGUACAUUUGUCCAUUUCUCACAUUCAUUUCAUGCUGCCGUGCCUGUUUUAUGUCCUUGUGCUGAGAUUUAUUCGUCCUUUCAGAGCCUAUAAAAAUUCCACAGCAUAUUUACUAAGCCAGAUUCAAGGCACCCCGCAAGAGAGUGUAGGCGAAAUAAACAUGAAAGAAACUAGAAUUCUGUGAUUUUGAAAAUUCAAACAAAAGAAGAGAUUUUCUAUAAGACACACAAAUAAUGAAAACCAACACAAAUACAACCCAAUGUUGUUGUUUGUGUAUUGCUUCAAAAUAAAUUAAGUUUCUAUUUUUUUCAUUUUGUUUUGACCAAAGGACGAGCUUUGGUCCACUUUAUUUUCUUAUAUUUCAAUAAAAGUUGAUGAAACAAUAUUCUUUCGUAUUCGACACGUUUCUCUUGUUCGAGAGUUUUUGAAGUAAUAAAUAAAAUUCUCAGUACAAUAAAUCAAAAUAUUUUUUCAUUUCAAUUUUUAUAAAAAAUCAACGUCAAUUAAUUUCAGUAAAAUGAUGGUUAUAGCUUUUGAGAACGGACAAUAUACGAAAAAUUUAGAACAUGCCAUCCAUCAUUUUAUGCUUUUACAUAAAACUCACCUAAGACUGUGAGUGCUGAAACAUAAAAUUUGUUUCUCAUUGUCAGGACGUGGACGUGGGUUUUGGGAUAAAGAUGAAUGAGCAAAAUCGCAUUGUUAUUAAAUAACAUUCCUGAUGAAAUAUUGUUGUUGUCAAUGUCGAUAAAAAUGUGCGAAGGAUCUUGGAAUUUUUUUAUUCGAAUUUGAAGUCAAUGAAAAUGCAGAUUUUUUUUUAUUAAAUGAA